rnacentral:rRNA from 1 species
GACGAACGCUGGCGGCGUGCUUAACACAUGCAAGUCGAACGGAAAGGCCCUGCUUUUGUGGGGUGCUCGAGUGGCGAACGGGUGAGUAACACGUGAGUAACCUGCCCUUGACUUUGGGGUAACUUCAGGAAACUGGGGCUAAUACCGGAUAGGAGCUCCUGCUGCAUGGUGGGGGUUGGAAAGUUUCGGCGGUUGGGGAUGGACUCGCGGCUUAUCAGCUUGUUGGUGGGGUAGUGGCUUACCAAGGCUUUGACGGGUAGCCGGCCUGAGAGGGUGACCGGCCACAUUGGGACUGAGAUACGGCCCAGACUCCUACGGGAGGCAGCAGUGGGGAAUAUUGCACAAUGGGCGGAAGCCUGAUGCAGCAACGCCGCGUGCGGGAUGACGGCCUUCGGGUUGUAAACCGCUUUCGCCUGUGACAAAGCGUGAGUGACGGUAAUGGGUAAAGAAGCACCGGCUAACUACGUG